rnacentral:rRNA from 1 species
AACCAGCGGAGGGAUCAUUACUGAGUUUACGCUCUAUAACCCUUUGUGAACAUACCUAUAACUGUUGCUUCGGCGGGUAGGGUCUCCGCGACCCUCCCGGCCUCCCGCCUCCGGGCGGGUCGGCGCCCGCCGGAGGAUAACCAAACUCUGAUUUAACGACGUUUCUUCUGAGUGGUACAAGCAAAUAAUCAAAACUUUUAACAACGGAUCUCUUGGUUCUGGCAUCGAUGAAGAACGCAGCGAAAUGCGAUAAGUAAUGUGAAUUGCAGAAUUCAGUGAAUCAUCGAAUCUUUGAACGCACAUUGCGCCCGCCAGCAUUCUGGCGGGCAUGCCUGUUCGAGCGUCAUUUCAACCCUCAAGCUCUGCUUGGUGUUGGGGCCCUACAGCUGAUGUAGGCCCUCAAAGGUAGUGGCGGACCCUCCCGGAGCCUCCUUUGCGUAGUAACUUUACGUCUCGCACUGGGAUCCGGAGGGACUCUUGCCGUAAAACCCCCCAAUUUUCCAAAGGUUGACCUCGGAUCAGGUAGGAAUACCCGCUGAACUUAAGCAUAUCAAU